rnacentral:rRNA from 1 species
AACGAACGUUGGCGGCGUGGAUUAGGCAUGCAAGUCGAACGAAUCCCCAGGGGCUUGCUCCUGGGGGGAAGUGGCGAAAGGGGCAGUAAGGCGUGGGUAACCUACCCCGGGGACCGGGAUAGCCGUCCUAACGGACGGGUAAUACCGGGCGAUGUGAUUGGUCCGCCUGGAUUGAUCACGAAAGGAAUUUCGCCUCGGGAGGGGCUCACGUGGUAUUAGCUUGUUGGUGGGGUGACGGCCCACCAAGGCCAAGAUGCCUAGCAGGUGUGAGAGCACG